AAUACUGGAGUGUUGCAUUAUGUGCAUGUCCCAAGUGAUUACAAAAGUGAAUUACAAAUUGGACCAUGAGCUGAAGGUGGGGAACAUUGUCAUCAAUCUUUUAUCAUGAUCAGGUAAAUUGAGAUGGAGACCUGGAAUGGAUUGAGAAACUGCCUGUCGAUAGCGGAUAAGCCAUACGAAUUGGUCCUAAUCUUCUUUAGAUGUCUUUGUCACCAUCUGAAACAUUUGAAAGUCUUUGUCACCAUCUGAAGCAUUUGAAAGAAGAAGAAAAAAGGCACCAUUCCUAAGGAUAGAGUCGGGGUGACGGAAUGGAGCUCAGCAUUUACUGGCCGGAUGCCCUUCCUGAUGCUUACACAUGGUUCACAGUAGAUAUUUUCAUUUUGUGCCCCAAUAGACAAAUUUCUGUCACUGCCUAGGAUUGAAAUCUCAGCCUUCUGAGUGGGAGAUGAGCAUCUUCAAAACUAGGCCAUUGUGCCACUAAUCUUUGCAUUUCACGUAACUCCAGGAGUGGGAUCCUACCGGUUUAACAACUGGUUCACUCAUGCCCGUGGCAAACGCGUGCUCUGCGCAUGCG